rnacentral:rRNA from 1 species
CUGGCUCAGGAUAAACGCUGGCGGCGUGCUUAACACAUGCAAGUCGAACGGAGUGGUUCUCCCGAGGAUUGAUAGUGCUUGCACUUGAUUGACUCAUUGAAUCACUUAGUGGCGGACGGGUGGGUAACGCGUGGGAAACCUGCCCUAUACUGGGGGAUAGCGGUUGGAAACGACUGAUAAUACCGCAUAAGCGCACAGGACCGCAUGGUCUAGUGUGAAAAACUCCGGUGGUAUAGGAUGGUCCCGCGUCUGAUUAGCUAGUUGGUGAGGUAACGGCCCACCAAGGCGACGAUCAGUAGCCGGCCUGAGAGGGUGUACGGCCACAUUGGGACUGAGACACGGCCCAAACUCCUACGGGAGGCAGCAGUGGGGAAUAUUGGACAAUGGGGGAAACCCUGAUCCAAGCGACGCCGCGCGAACGAUGAAGUAUUUCGGUAUGUAAAGUUCUAUCAGCAGGGAAGAUAAUGACGGUACCUGACUAAGAAGCACCGGCUAAAUACGUGCCAGCCGCCGC